AUACGUAGGUGACAAGCGUUAUCCGGAUUUACUGGGCGUAAAGGGCGUGUAGGCGGUCUUGCAAGUCAGAAGUGAAAUUCCUGAGCUCAACUCGGGCGCUGCUUCUGAAACUGCAGGACUUGAGUGCUGGAGGGGAUAGCGGAAUUCCUAGUGGAGCGGUAAAAUGCGCAGAUAUUAGGAAGAACACCGGUGGCGAAGGCGGCUAUCUGGACAGUAACUGUCGCUGAGGCGCGAAAGCGUGGGGAGCAAACAGGAUUAGAUACCCUGGUAUUCCACGCCGUAAACGAUGAAUACUAGGUGUAGGGGGUAUCGACUCCCUCUGUGCCGCAGUUAACACAAUAAGUAUUCCGCCUGGGGAGUACGGCCGCAAGGUUGAAACUCAAAUGAAUUGACGGGG
rnacentral:rRNA from 1 species